AGAGUUUGAUCCUGGCUCAGGAUGAACGCUAGCGAUAGGCUUAACACAUGCAAGUCGAGGGGCAUCACGAGGUAGCAAUACUUUGGUGGCGACCGGCGUACGGGUGCGUAACACGUAUGCAACCUUCCUGUAAGUGUGGGAUAGCCUCCUGAAAGGGAGAUUAAUACCUCAUGAUAUGCAUUUGCUGCAUGGCAUUUACAUUAAACAUUUAUGGCUUACAGAUGGGCAUGCGUUCCAUUAGGCAGUUGGUGUGGUAACGGCUCACCAAACCUACGAUGGAUAGGGGUUCUGAGAGGAAGGUCCCCCACACUGGAACUGAGACACGGUCCAGACUCCUACGGGAGGCAGCAGUGAGGAAUAUUGGUCAAUGGGCGCGAGCCUGAACCAGCCACGUCGCGUGAAGGAUGACGGCCUUAUGGGUUGUAAACUUCUUUUACAGGGGAAUAAAGUGAGUCACGCGUGAUUUUUUGCAUGUACCCUGUGAAUAAGCAUCGGCUAACUCCGUGCCAGCAGCCGCGGUAAUACGGAGGAUGCGAGCGUUAUCCGGAUUUAUUGGGUUUAAAGGGUGCGUAGGCGGAUGAAUAAGUCAGUGGUGAAAGGCUGCAGCUUAACUGUAGACUUGCCGUUGAUACUGUUUAUCUUGAGUGUGGUCAAGGCAGGCGGAAUGUGUAAUGUAGCGGUGAAAUGCUUAGAUAUUACACAGAACACCGAUUGCGAAGGCAGCUUGCUGGGCCAUUACUGACGCUGAUGCACGAAAGCGUGGGGAGCGAACAGGAUUAGAUACCCUGGUAGUCCACGCCGUAAACUAUGAUCACUAGCUGUUGGCGAUACACAGUCAGCGGCAAAGCAAAGCAUUAAGUGAUCCACCUGGGGAGUACGGCCGCAAGGCUGAAACUCAAUGAAUUGACGG
rnacentral:rRNA from 1 species